GCGGAUGUAGCCAAGUGGAUUAAGGCGGUGAAUCCACUAUGCGCGGGUUCAAUUCCCGUCGUUCACC
rfam:Ipomoea nil DNA, scaffold: scaffold1810, cultivar: Tokyo-kokei standard.